GUUUUACAGUGAAACCAUGAUGAAGAUGCUUCUUCAGACAGAAAGACGGUGUACUUAAGAUGACAUUCCUCUAAAUGGUUUACUGAUCAUGCAUGAAGUGCAGUCCAGGGUUUUUCCGAGUCUACAAGUGGCGUAUCUGAUCCAUCCCGGCACAUUUGAACCACCAUGGCCUCAUUCAAGCCUCCAAAGAUCAAAACAGCUCAAAUCGAGGUGAGUCAGCAGCACAUUUGUACACUAAAUUCUACACUGGUGAGAUGUCUGAAUGGCCCUUCAACACAUGAUCCUCCUCCAUUCAGAAGUGUCUAUUUAGAGAAGUGAGUCACACUGGACAUCAGAACUUCAGGCUGUGUAAUCCUGUGUGCUUCCUUCUGAAUAUGGAGCAGAUGUGACCGUGUCUGGUUUCCUCCAGCCUGUGUAUAGCAGAGGCAGACCGCCGCUGCAUCUGUCCCGGAGCUCAGCACAAGUUGCCUUCAAGGUGGGCGUGUGUUUUUCUGGGUUCCAGAGCCAGAGAGGUGGAAGCAUGGACGGGAUGAAUGGAACGGAUGGGUGUUUGUGCACUUCUGUUCGAGGGUGUGUCUGACCCGAGUGUCAUGCUGUCACUGACUCACACCGGUGGUCCUGACUCAUCCCGCCAUCACCAGCGCCGUGAGCUCGCGUGCUGCUCCACACAAUCCGGCCACACUCGCACAGUCAUUGAGGAAAGAUUUCCCUUUCCUCCUCUCCCUCUCUUUCUUGUUCUUGGUCUCUGUGACUCAUCUUGGUUUCAUUUUGCCACCCCCCUCCACCCGCCACCCAACUCGCCUCCAUUACAGCCUCCUCCCUCAAUGGGUUUAUCUCUCUUUUCACUCGCCUGUCUCAUUCCUUCGCUCCCUCUCUUUCUCUUUCCUGCCUGGCUCUGUAAAUGACCUCAUUUUAAUGAAGCACAAUCUUGGCGGGGAGACCAAACCACAUGGCUGGAACCUCCCUCCCUCCAUCUCUCUAAACCACCCUGUACUCCAGAAUCUGGCAUUGAGAAUUCUCAAUGUUAAUAGAACCGACCAGGAAGUCUGGGAAUUCUAGAAUAACUCUUAGAAUUCCACAACAAAUGUUUGAUUGCAUUCCAUCACUUAUAGCAACAACACCACAUGCAAUAAAACUACUUUCCGUGGCUCUUGCUACAACAUUGUCCCAUAAACUUAGAGAUGAUGCACACAGUCUGAGAAUGAAAAUCUGAUUUAAACAACAGAAGGUUUUAGGAUUUUGUAACCUUUAAAACAAGGGAACGUAAAAUAAAGACACACUAAGAUAUUUAAGACAAACUAAGCAAAUGUGUAACACCUACGCUCUUAAAAAAUAACCUUUCUUUGUUCUUAUGCAUUGAUGACUCCACAAAAAACUUUAACAUCCAUGGAAACUUUCCAUUGCACAAAAAGUUAUUUAUAGUGGAAUAAGAUUCUUCAGAUUAUUAAAAUAUUCUUGACACUAAGAAAAAAUGGUUCUUUUAAGAACUGUUCAGUGAAAGGUUCUUUAGGGAACUCAAAAUGGUUAUUCUGUUAUAUUGCUACAAACUCCCCUUUUUUGUACCUUAAGUUUUAAAAGUGUAGAAGCCCUGACUUUUUUGUGGCUCUAGCUGCAACAUUGUAACAGGUGACAAUGUAUGAUGGUGAGGUCUAAAAUCCGAGAAUGAAAAAUCUAUGAUUAAAAACCUGAAAAUAAGCAAAGUUUUUAGAUAUUUUACCCAAGAAACACCAUGACGUAAAAUAAAGUUUGUGAUUGCUACAUUCUUAAAAAUAUAUUAUCUUUAUAUUAUUCUUUAUUGGCAGGAUAGUUCCACAAAAGGUUUUUUAUAUUGGAAAAAGGUUCUUUAAAGUGAUGAAAUAUUCUUCACACUAAAAAUAAAUAAAUACUUUUAAGAAAGGUUCUUUGAAGAACCCAAAAUGGUUCUUCUAUUACAUCACUACAAAAACUCCUUUAUUUUAAAACCUAGAUUAUUUUUUUGCACAGAAAGUACGCCUCUGUUGUCAGUGCAAAGAGUAAAAUCCCUCCUAUAAAGCCUGAUGGUUUUGUUAUGGUCUCUGUCUGCAGCCUUUAUGAGGUUGUGAACGCUACCACAUGCUUGCACUGCCGUCCCAGUAGGCUACACCACAAACUCUUAAGAUUUGUAGUGCACUCUAGAUAGAUACAUGAAAAAUGAGACAGGUGCAAAAUGAGUCAAAACAAGGUGGUGUUACGUUUGAGUGAACAUGUAUCUGAGCAAAGAGCCCUGACUUCCUCUGUUUGACGUUAACUGAAGGCUGCUAAUUGAUCUUCGAUUACAAUUUAAGCUUUGUGUUGGAUAGGAACAUUAACUGAACAUUGGACAGAGACUUUGAAUAGAAAAAAAAAACUUUUAUGAUAUUUAUUACAGGAACGCAUGUCAUAAGACCAAGACAGCCAUUAGAUUUUAUGGUGAACUUGUUUUUAAGUUCUGGUGGUUCAAAUCAUGUAAGUUUGUGAUACAAUGACAUAAUUCAGUCUAAAUCUGAGGUAUGUUCAGUAGUGACUCAAGUUUUAGUUUCACCUUCAAUGCUGGUACAAUGCUGACAGCUAGUGGGAAAAAGUGUGCCAUUGCAGGCUGCCCUAUAUUAAGAUCUACAAAAGUACCAGUUUGAGGGUUUGACCACAGGGAAAAAACCCUCACCAGAUAAUCAGAUGAUGUAUGUUUACAGUUUUUCAUUUUCGGUUUUAGAUAUAGAGGCAAUAUUGGGUAAUAGUCAUUGUUCUUGAGAUUUACUUCCGUAUAUGUAAUAAACCGUACAAUAAAAAAAUAAAAAAAUCAUGUAAUAAACCGUACAAUAAAAAAUAAAAAAAUACCCAGGGUUUAUCACAUGAUUUCCCAGAGAUGUUGUUCGAAGCUUGGAAUCUACUUUCGCUUUUUGUUUAUAGAGUGGCCCCAAAUGUAUUUAGACACUUAAGCAACAAUCAAACAUAGAUGAAUUUCAUUACAUUAGAUAUAAGAUAUAAAACCAAAUGGCAAGCUCAAAUAUGUGUCCUGUAGCAGCCAUACAGUAUAAUAUAACGCUAUAGUGGGGUAACCACAAGUAUAGUUCAUCAAAUCAGUUAUGGAUAUGUUAAGUUUAGUUUCGCCACUAAGUUGAUUCAUUAGCCAAUGUCAGUUGAUUCAUGCAUGCUUUAUCUGAUGCAAUGAGAUAUUUUUUUUGACUCACUGUAUGCUAAUUAUUUAAAAGAAGACUAAGUUUCAUUUGCAACGAUGACAAGUCAUCUGAAAUGUUCCCAGACUGGUAAAUCUGCUUUGGUUACAUUCAAAUGCACAAACAAACCAAUGCACUGGGAAACAUCCUUCAUGUUUGAACUUUAAGUGAAAGCACUUUCAAAGCAAACAGAAUUAAAAUUGCAUAAAGUAGAGUUUUAUCAUUUUUCCCAGCAGUUUAAUACAUUGGAUUACAGAUCAACACAAAGCCCAGUGUCAUAAUAUUGUGCUUAAUAUCCAUAGAGACGGAGAUGAAGAAUGUUGUGGCAGGGAAUCUGGCAUCCAGGCCAAGCCCCAAUUCAUAUAGCUUUAAUGUUCCUAUGGCUGAUGCUUUA
rnacentral:lncRNA from 1 species